rnacentral:lncRNA from 1 species
GGAGUGGAGGCUGUUUGCAAAUUAAACCGGAAACAAAGAUGCCAAACAGUCCAUUUAAAGGGCCCUUGAAGCUCUCACCUGAGAUGCCUGUUAUACGUUCCUCCUCCAGCUUUGCUGAAGGACGAUGUUUUAAGCAGCUCUUCCUCCUAAAGAAGUUAUCAGCUUGGGUUUAAAUUACCUCUUGGGAGGUAAAUCCUCAACUAGAGGCAACCCUGAAUCAUCGGAACAUGUUGGGGUCAGACACCUUCAGAUAAGCAUCAGUGCAACAACAAGAGAGCUUUCUUACAGCAAAAUGGAAAUUUAGACCAAGAGACACAAAGUACCGGGAAAAAACAGAAGAAACCUGGUGUGGUGAGUAGAGAAGGAACGAGUUUUCGGGGAAACUGUUCUUACUGGCUAAUCACAGUGAUGGAGUCAGUUGUCUGUCUGCCAAGUGUUCGACGGUGCUCCUAAUUCACUGAGGGGAACGGUUCAUGUUUAACUCAAGUCAAAACAUAGAGAUAGGGUAGGAUUUUCUUAUUUUCCAUGUUUGUGGAUGAAACAUCUGGAAUAAGGCUAAUCAUUUUAUCAGUUUGGGGGUGUGUAAGAGCAGAGACACUAACAGAAUAAAAUAGAGCUCCCAGAGUUUUGUCGUCCAGGGAACGUUACAAGAAUCUUCUCUUUCUUCACCCAGUUCACCACUGAAAGUGAACACGUACUCAAAUACCUCAGGGACGCCUAACAGCUGAUCAACCUAAUUCCACAACUGUCUUAUUAACUUAUAACUUUUAAGUAUGUAAAUAUUCUGUACGUGCAUACAAUACAGAUAUGAGUGAGUGUGGAGCAGAUUUUGGAAAUGUUCAGUUCUUUUAAUGAGAAAGAGAAACUAGUUUAUAAAUCUCACUUGUCAGACCCAUGUAGGAGGGAUAUUUUGUUUUUCUCCUAAAAACAACAUUUUCUUUGUAAUAUGGAAAAUAUAGAAAUAUGGACUAUUUCCUUGCCAUAUGAAAUAAUAUGGAAAAUAAAGAAGCUAUGCUCUUGAAUAUACUAUUUUCAUAUGACAUUUGGUUUCUCGUUAAUAGAAUAAUGGUGUAAUAAAUAGUAGACUAAGGUUAGCUAUUAAAAGUGCAAGGGAAAUAUCUCAUUUAUAUAUUUGUAAAUUAAAACCCCAAGGAGAAAUGAUGGAGAGCAUAUUGGUUUGGAAAGCACAAAUCUCCUUUAUCCCUCAGUUUCCUCUUUUCUGAAGCCUCAGAUUCUUCCCUCUACCAAGAGUCAGGCAUUGGAACCCACAACCAUUCCUGCCUUUAACAAGGCGAAAAUCAGACUAUGAAGCUGGACCAAAGGACAUAGGCAGAAGGAACUGGCUGUCAGUUUCUUACUUGGGUGAGUUCUAACACGGCAAUAAGGUUUCUUUACCAAGACUUCCUCUCUCCCCACAUCUCUUUACGCACUAAAACUUCGAACCCUCAUCUCAUCUCAGGGAGGUCUCUGUGCCUUCAUCAUCCUGCCUUGGAGCUUUCUGUAGACUAUCUGUUUUGCUAGGAAAUGCCCUACUGUGCAAGUCACUAACUCUUUUUCUUUCUGCAGAUGAUUUCAGUUACAGAAUUCCUACCUUGCCUUUCCCUAACUGAUGGAAUACAAGUAAAGAAUUCACCUGGGGCCGUCCUAUCUAAAGCUGCAACUAAACUUAACUCCUUCUUUCAGAAGGCAGUAUGAUAGAGUGGAAAGAACAUGGACUUGGGAAUUGAGCAAUCCUUGGUUUGGAGGGAAAAAACUGAAUGUUGGUUGCCACAUGAAUUGUGUGAAAUUACUUUUAGCUUUGGUCCCUUAGAGCUUCAUCUUGAGAUAAUACCGUCUACCACAUGUGAUUAAUAUGAGUAUUAAAUGCAUGAAUAAUGUCUGAUAGGCACUGAAUAGAUAUAGUCCCUACUCCAUUCCACAGAAGGCACUUGUCUUUUUUUUUUUUUUUUUUUUUCGGUGAGGAAAAUUGUCGCUGAGCUAACACUCUCCUUUUCAGGACUUUGCCUUAUAAAUCUAGCCGUCUUGGUAUCCUCGGACUUUGAUGUUGUUCUCUUCACCUCAGUAGGAGUGUCAGGUUCCUUGGGUUCCCUUUCCCCUGCAGUAUGGCCUGAAGUUGGCUCUAAACGGUAAGCUAGGAGAUCCUAAAGCUCAUCUCAUUUGUUUCCUUUCUCUCAAUGAUGACAGUCCUAUGCUGCCUAUUGUCAAAUGUCUGAAAACCAUUGUUUCAUCUGUUUUAUCAAGUUUAUAUUGAAGGGUAAUUCCUGUUGCUGCUAAUUCUUCUUGGUCAAAGGAGAAAUCUGCCAGUCUCCUGUAGACUUACUCUAAUAAGCUUGUGCUCCACCAUUCUGCUGAAACUCUUUGCAUCAAGGCCACCAAUGAUCUCCAGAUUGUGAAAUCUAAUAUACCUGUAUUUAAGAUUCACAAAAGACUGUUAACUCUCCUCCAGAACUCAUGAAACUACUAUUGAUGACACAAGUAGGGCAACAUGCAAGAGCACUAAGUGAACUAUGUAGUAUUUUAAGUCUAAAGAAAAUUAGUCAUGGAUUCUCAAGACUUUCUCAGCACGAGGCUCACCUGGGUGAGAUGCAAUUUGUUUUAAGAUGCACCCAGGAUUUUGUUUUUAUUCAGGUGUGGUGAGGACAACAGAUCACGAGACACUUGCCAGAUACCUUGUUAAGCACUGUUUCCAGGAGAAGGGGGAAUGCCUCGUCACCCCGGGCCACAUGGGGAAGUGGCAGGGUCAGUCAGAAGGAGUGAGGGGAAAGCACGGGCAAGAGCCUUUAUUGUGGUUUUUGUGGGAAGGAAUCUGCAACACAGGGUAAGCAGCUGGUCAGGCAUAGGAUUGGAUAGUUUGAAUAAUUUCAGUAGGCUCUGGGCUAUAGGGGUGGCCCCUAGUUGUCCAGUACCUGGCCCUAGAGCGAAUAGGGCAGAGGAGUAUGCCUCCUGGAGCAUAAAAAUCAGAUGAGGAGGUGGUUUGGAGUACGGGCUCUGGAUUGGUUAGUUUGCAUGUGGAAGGUGUGCUUGCAGCCAAGUUGUUUGCUCUCUCUAGGAAUUAGCUAACCCUGGGAGGGCCAGUCCCUCCACUGUCCACAAGGCCCCAAGAUAGCAAAGCAUCAUAAAAUACAGAUAAUAAAAAAUAUUAUUAAUAGUCAAGAAAUAAGAAAAUGACCCACCUCACAGAGAUUUCCCUUCAUUGGGGAAUGAGAGCGGGCAGAUACAAUGAUUCCAGGAGACUCUGGGGCAGGCACGGGUCGAGGGGCCAGGCAUCAGAGCCAUUGCAGUGCGUUGGUCCCCGUCUUCUCUCAGCUGGGUUACUGCAGUCUCCUCCUUGCUUCUAGUUGUACUUUCCUUCUCCACGCUGUAUUCAGUGAUGUUUAUAUGACACAUGUCUGAUCUUAGCGCUCACCUGUUCAACACUCUGCAGUGGCACACCUCCAAUAAAGUGAGCCAUGUGAAUUUUUUGGUUUCUCAGUGCAUAUAAAAGUUAUGUUUCCACUAUACUGUAGUCUAUUAAGUCUCCAAAAGCAUUAUGUCUAAGAAAACAAUGUACAGACCUUAAUUUAAAAAUGCUUUAUUGCUAAAACUGCUAACCAUCAUCUGAGCCUUCAGCAAGUCAUAAUCUUUUUGCUGGCGGAGGGUCUUGUAAAAAAAAUGCAAUAUUUGCAGAGCGCAAUAAAACGAGGUGUGCCUGUACUUGUAGAAUCAGCCCAAACUUCCUAACAUGGAAGAUAGCUAUUAUUGAGUCGCAUUUCUUGCCAUGAGCCACUCCCUCCUCCCAAUGCCCUACCCUCACCGAACCCCUCCCCGCCAUGCACACAGUUCCACAGCACAGGCAGUUAUACUGAAUUUCCCCCACUUCUUUAAAGACAUCAAGCUCUUCUUUCUAGUGCUUCACCCUUAUUCCUUCUUGUUCAAAGGAUGCUUCAGACCUUGGUUGAAGCAUAGCCUCCUCAGAGAGGUUUCUCCUGACUGUCCCCCAAUCCAGGUCGGCCUCGGGGACCCGCUCAGUCUUCAUGGCACUCUCUGCUUCCCCAUCACAGCUCUAACCACACUUCUAUAAAUGCCUAUUUACUCCUCUCACUUGCCACGAGGACAGGGACCAUGUAAAUUGUGUUCGCUCUUGUAUUAUCAGCACCUAGUACGAUGCUUGGCACAUGACAGUCUUUCAGGAAAUGUGUGAAAAUGUGUAUGAAUGAAUGAAGCCUCAAAGCUUGAGACCCAGGCCUGGGCUGGGCAGAGAGGAGAUUGAGGCAUUCCUGGAGGGGUCUGAGCUGAGACACUGAGUCAGGCUUCUAACGUUUUUUCCGCUGAGAUGAGUGGGGUUGGGCCUGGGAUAGGGAGAUCAUAAACCUCCAUUCCUGACCUUAAAUUAGAACCAAACUGGUGUCGAGGGGAAGAGGAAAAGCAGAUAUACCAUUUUCUUGGGAAAUUUCUUCUCAGUAAUUUCACUCUAGGUCAUUUAGUUCUUUAUGCCCAAACAAGUUAAUGCAGCCGUCAGUUAUAGUAAGAGCUCUGAUCUUAAACUGGUUUAAAAUGAGGACCGGGAUGACGACGCUCAACAGAAGAAGAUGAGUCUUAAGAAAUCCAGUGUUGUUGAAAAAUAAUAAAAUUCUAACACUUUAUAAACUUUGUGAUAUUCCUCUUUAAUUUCGGCAUUAGAUAGAGGUGAUGAAUAUUACAUCUCCAUUUUGCUGAACCUAUAACAUAAGCCGCAUUUUCCAGAGAAAGAUAAUUAAAUUUAUAAAAGAUUUGAGAAAGAAAUCCCCAAAAGCUAAAGAAAACUUUUGGGAGGAAAAGAAGUUACUCAAAAACCUACAAAGGAAAAAGAGAUGAGAGGAAGGUGUGGAGGUGUUGAGUGCCUAUCGUCCAUUUGAUUGAGGUCCAGACUGGAGGAACUGGCCCGAAAUUGCAGCAGGAUGCAUCAGGCUGGACAGCAGGGAGAGGGAGCGACCUCAACUCUCUUUCUCUCUGAAUACACACACACACGCACACACACACACGCACACACACAGACCAGUUUAUACCUGAUUUGUUUAAAAGCAGCUCCAUUCAAAAGAGAAGAGACUAUCCCAAACCACAUUCCAAAGCAACUUCAAGCAUUAAAUAAUGGAUUUUUUUCUUCCUCUAGCAGUUUCUUUUGCAAAAGAAGAGGACGCUACACGGUUUGAUUUCUCUUGUUUAGAGCUUUGUCAGCAUUGUUUGUUCCACUUCAAGAAGACAUUUUCAGAAGUUGUGAAAAUCACCGAUAACAUCAACGCCAUCAUCAGAAAAGCAGCCACCUGCCCACUGCGAAUUAUAGACGUGAUAAACCAGGGACUACAUGCAAAUGGGCGAGGAUGUGGCCCACUCCCUGAAGGAUGAACGCUCUCUGCAAGAGAAACCCCAGGUGGGGAUACAAUGAGAAGAUGGCCGUCUGCAAACCAGAAAGCGGGCCUCACCUGACACUGGAUCUGUCGGCACCUUGAUCUUGGACUUCCCGAUGGCCUCCAGAACUGUGAUAAAUAAAUGGUUGUUC